UACGUAGGUGGCGAGCGUUGUCCGGAUUUACUGGGCGUAAAGGGAGCGUAGGCGGACUUUUAAGUGAGAUGUGAAAUACCCGGGCUCAACUUGGGUGCUGCAUUUCAAACUGGAAGUCUAGAGUGCAGGAGAGGAGAAUGGAAUUCCUAGUGUAGCGGUGAAAUGCGUAGAGAUUAGGAAGAACACCAGUGGCGAAGGCGACUCUCUGGACUGUAACUGACGCUGAGGCUCGAAAGCGUGGGGAGCAAACAGGAUUAGAUACCCCU
rnacentral:rRNA from 1 species